GGAGUGGUGGUUCAGUGGUAGAAUUCUUGCCUUCCAUGCAGGAGACCAAAGUUCGCUUCCUGGCCAAUGCA
rnacentral:tRNA from 1 species